rnacentral:tmRNA from 2 species
GGGGGCGCACGCUUCGACAAGAACGCCUCUUUGAAAACAGCAGAUCAAGUUGGUGAACUUGUCAAAAUCACCAAAACAACAAUUGCCAACAGAAAUGUUGCACCGGCAUUGGCUUUUGCCUAAAUGCCCAUCAGCCCUUGAUGCCUGCUAGAGGAUCACUGGUGUUAUAAAGCAGACUCGCUGAAUUAGGGAUGGCUUCUUGUCCAAAAUUUAGUUAAAAACAACCAGGAAGCAAUUUUGCCUCUUUUAGAGGCUACGUCUGUAGAUUGUUUUCAAAGAAAUUCUUGGACGGGAGUUCAAUCUCCCCGCCUCCACAA